GACGAACGCUGGCGGCGUGCUUAACACAUGCAAGUCGAACGGAAAGGCUCCAGCUUGCUGGAGUACUCGAGUGGCGAACGGGUGAGUAACACGUGGGUGAUCUGCCCUGCACUUCGGGGUAAGCCUGGGAAACUGGGUCUAAUACCGGAUAGGACCGCACUUUGGUGUGUGUGGUGGAAAGGUUUUUCUGGUGUGGGAUGAGCUCGCGGCCUAUCAGUUUGUUGGUGGGGUAAUGGCCUACCAAGACGGCGACGGGUAGCCGGCCUGAGAGGGUGGACGGUCACAUUGGGACUGAGAUACGGCCCAGACUCCUACGGGAGGCAGCAGUGGGGAAUAUUGCACAAUGGGGGAAACCCUGAUGCAGCGACGCCGCGUGGGGGAUGAAGGCCUUCGGGUUGUAAACUCCUUUCGCUAGGGACGAAGCUUUUUGUGACGGUACCUGGAGAAGAAGCACCGGCUAACUACGUG
rnacentral:rRNA from 1 species